rnacentral:lncRNA from 1 species
CAAAACGAAACGGGUUCCAAGGUUUACGCCGCUGCCUCCAAGCCCUCUGAUGCUGAUCAUCUGAGGCAGCGUGCUCUGGAGAAUUCCUAUUCUAGGGCGCGUUCCCCUACUCCUCCUAACGAAGUCCCACGAGCUGAGGAAGGGGAGGUACCUCCGGAGGUACCCAAAGACACUACUCCUGGGCAGUCUCCUGCUGCUUCUAGGCCAUCCAACCCCUUCCCUACUCUGUCGGAAGAGGAGCGGGAGAACACAGAGAAAGAGACUCAAUCUGAGCGGACUGAG